CCUGCAGUCUGGAACCAACGACAUCAUCUCAGCUCAAACACUUGGGAGUUGAACUUGCUGAUCGACUUACCAAGAGGACCAGGCUCCGUGGGCUCCGUCUCAAACUCGGACUCUAAUAAAAAAGGAAAAAGACCGGCAGGAGGAGUGACCCCUGGGCGGUUCACAUCAGAAACCAGAUGCAGACGAGCGGAAGCGACAUUCUCUCCGAGUGGACUCACCGGGAUAGACCCACAGGCUGCUUACCUUAGGACAGGUCUGGGUGCAGUUCAUGAUGGUGUGGCAGCGGUAGAGCGAGAAGGGAUCCUGCAGCUUGGACAGACGCUCAUCCGUAAACUCGUCCCGGGAGUCGAUCAUCCAGCGGUACGCCUGACACACGACAAACACUGGUCACACCCUCUGCUGUUCGUGGCGCCGACAGAGGCGUAAACAUCUGCUCACCUGCAUGAGCACAGCCGGGCCCAGGUAUUUGUCUCCGUUCCACCAGUAGCUUGGACAGCUGGUGCUGCAGCAGGCGCAGAGGAUGCACUCGUAGAGGCCGUCCUGUUAGGGGGAAAGGGAGGGAUUCUAACCAUCAACAUAAUUAAAUCGCGUCUGUGUUUUUAUAGAACAUAAAACAGAGGAAUACCAGCUUCUGCCUGUCCUCCACAGACUGCAGGUACUGCUCCUUCCCUUCCCGGGACUCAUCCUUCUUCUUCAGGUAAGGCUCAAUUGACUUGUAUUGGGCAUAGAAGUUGCUCAUAUCCUGAGAGCAGCAGCAAAAAGUGUUAUUUGAGGUCAAAUCUAAAAUAUUUUCCUCUAAUUAUGCUUUUAAAAGUUUAAUAUAUUAAGUUAUGAUCUCUUUAUACACGAGGAACCAAACUAUCUGAGCUGCCCUAAACUAUCAGAAACAUGUCUAAAAACUGCCGACUCACAGGCACCAGGUCUUUGACCACAUACAUAUGUGGCAGCGGGUAGAUUUUGGCUGGUUUGCUCAGGUUGGGGUCGAUCCUCUGCAGGCAGGCCAGCGUGUUUCCUCCGUUUAUGUUCAUCGCGCAGGAGCCACAAAUCCCUGAAGAAGAUGACAGUUUUACACUUCAGUCUAGAGACCAACACAACGUCCAGCCUAACAAUGAACCACGGAUGCCGUUUGCACAGCGGAAUGAAUGGAUGUGGACAAUGACCUUCUCUGCAGGAGCGGCGGAAGGUCAGAGUGGGAUCCAUCUCAUUUUUGAUCUUGAUGAGUGCGUCCAGGACCAUGGGGCCACACCUGCAGACACAAAGAGAAUUUUCUGAGUCCUCAGCAGCUGCUGAUGUCGAGUGUUUUUAGCAUCACCAGAUGGAGAAAACGGACAAAACAGCUUCAGCCAACUGUUAAAUCCAACUUAACCUUAAAAAAAAUACACUUUCCACCUGCCUGCUGCUCUCCACAAUGACCAUGUCGGAGCCUCUGCUUGAGCAAAGACACGUGUGCUUCAACAUCACUGAGAACAAUUAAAACUGACUCCCGUGAAAUUUGUUUCUUGUGUCAUUUUCCUCAUAAUGGAGGACAUUUAUAAAGAAAAUUACAAUUA